ensembl:lncRNA
GGACAAGUAGCCAAGUAGAGGAAAGGAAAGGAGAAGGAAGGAGGGAGUAAAAAUGCCUGUUGAAACCAGAGCUUGAGAUUAAUGAAUUCUGCGCUGAGCCCAACCCUCAGAGAAGCAAGAUUCAGCUCCCAGCCAAGCCUUUUCACAACUGCAGUUUCCUCUUCUGCACAAGGAGAAGGUGGCUGACUUAGCAGAGUCUGCAGAUAAAGAUGAAAGGCACAGUAGGACUCUUCAGAUGGAGUGACGGAGUGCUGUGGGAAGAUCAGCGUGAAAUGCAGGAGCAGUGCUUGAAUCAAGGAUGAGAAAAAGCCUCUCCUGUAGGGAGUUGUCUCCAAAUACCCACACCUUGUGUUUUGACUUCUAGACACCAGUAGCUAUUGACAUUUUUAAAGGGAA